UCUAGAUAGAUUUAAAAGAUACAAAUAAUGAUGAAUGCCUUGACGACGACGGUUAUCUGUGACUCCCGAUGAUAUGGAUAUAUAAGGAAGUACUUUGACCCACGUUUUGUUCUCCAUUUCUCACAUCUUCUUUCUCUUUUUCUUUUCUCUAUUUCUCACAUUCUCUUUAUUUUUGUCUCUUUCUCCACCCAGAUAUAAUUAUGGUUCCUU
rnacentral:lncRNA from 1 species